UACAGAGGGUGCAAGCGUUAAUCGGAAUCACUGGGCGUAAAGGGUGCGUAGGCGGGUCUUUAAGUCAGGGGUGAAAUCCUGGAGCUCAACUCCAGAACUGCCUUUGAUACUGAAGAUCUUGAGUUCGGGAGAGGUGAGUGGAACUGCGAGUGUAGAGGUGAAAUUCGUAGAUAUUCGCAAGAACACCAGUGGCGAAGGCGGCUCACUGGCCCGAUACUGACGCUGAUGCACGAAAGCGUGGGGAGCAAACAGG
rnacentral:rRNA from 1 species